rnacentral:rRNA from 1 species
GACGAACGCUGGCGGCGUGCCUAAUACAUGCAAGUCGUACGCUUCUUUUUCCACCGGAGCUUGCUCCACCGGAAAAAGAAGAGUGGCGAACGGGUGAGUAACACGUGGGUAACCUGCCCAUCAGAAGGGGAUAACACUUGGAAACAGGUGCUAAUACCGUAUAACAAUCGAAACCGCAUGGUUUUGAUUUGAAAGGCGCUUUCGGGUGUCGCUGAUGGAUGGACCCGCGGUGCAUUAGCUAGUUGGUGAGGUAACGGCUCACCAAGGCUACGAUGCAUAGCCGACCUGAGAGGGUGAUCGGCCACAUUGGGACUGAGACACGGCCCAAACUCCUACGGGAGGCAGCAGUAGGGAAUCUUCGGCAAUGGACGAAAGUCUGACCGAGCAACGCCGCGUGAGUGAAGAAGGUUUUCGGAUCGUAAAACUCUGUUGUUAGAGAAGAACAAGGAUGAGAGUAACUGUUCAUCCCUUGACGGUAUCUAACCAGAAAGCCACGGCUAACUACGUGCCAGCAGCCGCGGUAAUACGUAGGUGGCAAGCGUUGUCCGGAUUUAUUGGGCGUAAAGCGAGCGCAGGCGGUUUCUUAAGUCUGAUGUGAAAGCCCCCGGCUCAACCGGGGAGGGUCAUUGGAAACUGGGAGACUUGAGUGCAGAAGAGGAGAGUGGAAUUCCAUGUGUAGCGGUGAAAUGCGUAGAUAUAUGGAGGAACACCAGUGGCGAAGGCGGCUCUCUGGUCUGUAACUGACGCUGAGGCUCGAAAGCGUGGGGAGCAAACAGGAUUAGAUACCCUGGUAGUCCACGCCGUAAACGAUGAGUGCUAAGUGUUGGAGGGUUUCCGCCCUUCAGUGCUGCAGCUAACGCAUUAAGCACUCCGCCUGGGGAGUACGACCGCAAGGUUGAAACUCAAAGGAAUUGACGGGGGCCCGCACAAGCGGUGGAGCAUGUGGUUUAAUUCGAAGCAACGCGAAGAACCUUACCAGGUCUUGACAUCCUUUGACCACUCUAGAGAUAGAGCUUCCCCUUCGGGGGCAAAGUGACAGGUGGUGCAUGGUUGUCGUCAGCUCGUGUCGUGAGAUGUUGGGUUAAGUCCCGCAACGAGCGCAACCCUUAUUGUUAGUUGCCAUCAUUUAGUUGGGCACUCUAGCAAGACUGCCGGUGACAAACCGGAGGAAGGUGGGGAUGACGUCAAAUCAUCAUGCCCCUUAUGACCUGGGCUACACACGUGCUACAAUGGGAAGUACAACGAGUCGCGAAGUCGCGAGGCUAAGCUAAUCUCUUAAAGCUUCUCUCAGUUCGGAUUGUAGGCUGCAACUCGCCUACAUGAAGCCGGAAUCGCUAGUAAUCGCGGAUCAGCACGCCGCGGUGAAUACGUUCCCGGGCCUUGUACACACCGCCCGUCACACCACGAGAGUUUGUAACACCCGAAGUCGGUGAGGUAACCUUUUGGAGCCAGCCGCCUAAGGUGG